GUAGGGGGCAAGCGUUAUCCGGAUUUACUGGGUGUAAAGGGAGCGUAGACGGCACGGCGAGCCGGAUGUGAAAGCCCGGGGCUCAACCCCGGGACUGCAUUUGGAACUGCUGAGCUAGAGUGUCGGAGAGGCAAGUGGAAUUCCUAGUGUAGCGGUGAAAUGCGUAGAUAUUAGGAGGAACACCAGUGGCGAAGGCGGCUUGCUGGACGAUGACUGACGUUGAGGCUCGAAAGCGUGGGGAGCAUACAGGAUUAGACACCCUGGUAGUCCACGCCGUAAACGAUGACUGCUAGGUGUCGGGUGGCAAAGCCAUUCGGUGCCGCAGCUAACGCAAUAAGCAGUCCACCUGGGGAGUACGUUCGCAAGAAUG
rnacentral:rRNA from 1 species